rnacentral:rRNA from 1 species
CACUAUCGUUAACUGAAUACAUAGGUUAACGAGGCGAACCGGGGGAACUGAAACAUCUAAGUACCCCGAGGAAAAGAAAUCAACCGAGAUUCCCCCAGUAGCGGCGAGCGAACGGGGAGCAGCCCAGAGUCUGAAUCAGCUUGUGUGUUAGUGGAACGGUCUGGAAAGUCCGACGGUACAGGGUGAUAGUCCCGUACACCAAAAUGCACAGGUUGUGAACUCGAAGAGUAGGGCGGGACACGUGGUAUCCUGUCUGAAUAUGGGGGGACCAUCCUCCAAGGCUAAAUACUCCUGACUGACCGAUAGUGAACCAGUACCGUGAGGGAAAGGCGAAAAGAACCCCGGCGAGGGGAGUGAAAAAGAACCUGAAACCGUGUACGUACAAGCAGUGGGAGCACCUUCGGGUGUGACUGCGUACCUUUUGUAUAAUGGGUCAGCGACUUAUAUUCUGUAGCAAGGUUAACCGUAUAGGGGAGCCGCAGGGAAACCGAGUCUUAACUGGGCGUUAAGUUGCAGGGUAUAGACCCGAAACCCGGUGAUCUAGCCAUGGGCAGGUUGAAGGUUGGGUAACACUAACUGGAGGACCGAACCGACUAAUGUUGAAAAAUUAGCGGAUGACUUGUGGCUGGGGGUGAAAGGCCAAUCAAACCGGGAGAUAGCUGGUUCUCCCCGAAAGCUAUUUAGGUAGCGCCUCGUGAAUUCAUCUUCGGGGGUAGAGCACUGUUUCGGCUAGGGGGUCAUCCCGACUUACCAACCCGAUGCAAACUACGAAUACCGAAGAAUGUUAUCACGGGAGACACACGGCGGGUGCUAACGUCCGUCGUGAAGAGGGAAACAACCCAGACCGCCAGCUAAGGUCCCAAAGUCAUGGUUAAGUGGGAAACGAUGUGGGAAGGCACAGACAGCCAGGAUGUUGGCUUAGAAGCAGCCAUCAUUUAAAGAAAGCGUAAUAGCUCACUGGUCGAGUCGGCCUGCGCGGAAGAUGUAACGGGGCUAAACCAUGCACCGAAGCUGCGGCAGCGACACUAUGUGUUGUUGGGUAGGGGAGCGUUCUGUAAGCCUGCGAAGGUGUGCUGUGAGGCAUGCUGGAGGUAUCAGAAGUGCGAAUGCUGACAUAAGUAACGAUAAAGCGGGUGAAAAGCCCGCUCGCCGGAAGACCAAGGGUUCCUGUCCAACGUUAAUCGGGGCAGGGUGAGUCGACCCCUAAGGCGAGGCCGAAAGGCGUAGUCGAUGGGAAACAGGUUAAUAUUCCUGUACUUGGUGUUACUGCGAAGGGGGGACGGAGAAGGCUAUGUUAGCCGGGCGACGGUUGUCCCGGUUUAAGCAUGUAGGCUGGUUGUCCAGGCAAAUCCGGAUAAUCAAGGCUGAGGUGUGAUGACGAGGCACUACGGUGCUGAAGUAACAAAUGCCCUGCUUCCAGGAAAAGCCUCUAAGCAUCAGGUAACAUUAAAUCGUACCCCAAACCGACACAGGUGGUCAGGUAGAGAAUACCAAGGCGCUUGAGAGAACUCGGGUGAAGGAACUAGGCAAAAUGGUGCCGUAACUUCGGGAGAAGGCACGCUGGUGUGUAGGUGAAGUCCCUGCGGAUGGAGCUGAGACCAGUCGAAGAUACCAGCUGGCUGCAACUGUUUAUUAAAAACACAGCACUGUGCAAACACGAAAGUGGACGUAUACGGUGUGACGCCUGCCCGGUGCCGGAAGGUUAAUUGAUGGGGUUAUCCGUAAGGAGAAGCUCUUGAUCGAAGCCCCGGUAAACGGCGGCCGUAACUAUAACGGUCCUAAGGUAGCGAAAUUCCUUGUCGGGUAAGUUCCGACCUGCACGAAUGGCGUAAUGAUGGCCAGGCUGUCUCCACCCGAGACUCAGUGAAAUUGAACUCGCUGUGAAGAUGCAGUGUACCCGCGGCAAGACGGAAAGACCCCGUGAACCUUUACUAUAGCUUGACACUGAACAUUGAGCCUUGAUGUGUAGGAUAGGUGGGAGGCUUUGAAGCGUGGACGCCAGUCUGCGUGGAGCCAACCUUGAAAUACCACCCUUUAAUGUUUGAUGUUCUAACGUUGGCCCCUGACCGGGGUUGCGGACAGUGUCUGGUGGGUAGUUUGACUGGGGCGGUCUCCUCCCAAAGCGUAACGGAGGAGCACGAAGGUUAGCUAAUCCUGGUCGGACAUCAGGAGGUUAGUGCAAUGGCAUAAGCUAGCUUGACUGCGAGCGUGACGGCGCGAGCAGGUGCGAAAGCAGGUCAUAGUGAUCCGGUGGUUCUGAAUGGAAGGGCCAUCGCUCAACGGAUAAAAGGUACUCCGGGGAUAACAGGCUGAUACCGCCCAAGAGUUCAUAUCGACGGCGGUGUUUGGCACCUCGAUGUCGGCUCAUCACAUCCUGGGGCUGAAGUAGGUCCCAAGGGUAUGGCUGUUCGCCAUUUAAAGUGGUACGCGAGCUGGGUUUAGAACGUCGUGAGACAGUUCGGUCCCUAUCUGCCGUGGGCGCUGGAGAAUUGAGGGGGGCUGCUCCUAGUACGAGAGGACCGGAGUGGACGCAUCACUGGUGUUCGGGUUGUCAUGCCAAUGGCACUGCCCGGUAGCUAAAUGCGGAAGAGAUAAGUGCUGAAAGCAUCUAAGCACGAAACUUGCCCCGAGAUGAGUUCUCCCUGAG